UGCGUAGGCGGAUUGAUAAGUCAGUGGUGAAAACCUUCAGCUUAACUGGAGACUUGCCAUUGAUACUGUUAGUCUUGAGUACGGUCAAGGUAGGCGGAAUGUGUAAUGUAGCGGUGAAAUGCUUAGAUAUUACACAGGACACCGAUUGCGAGGGCAGCUUACUGGGCCAUUACUGACGCUGAGGCACGAAAGCGUGGGGAGCGAACAGGAUUAGAUACCCUGGUAGUCC
rnacentral:rRNA from 1 species